GACGAACGCUGGCGGCGUGCCUAAUACAUGCAAGUUGAGCGCUGAAGGUUGGUACUUGUACCGACUGGAUGAGCAGCGAACGGGUGAGUAACGCGUGGGGAAUCUGCCUUUGAGCGGGGGACCACAUUUGGAAACGAAUGCUAAUACCGCAUAAAAACUUUAAACACAAGUUUCAAGUUUGAAAGAUGCAAUUGCAUCACUCAAAGAUGAUCUCGCGUUGUAUUAGCUAGUUGGUGAGGUAAAGGCUCACCAAGGCGAUGAUACAUAGCCGACCUGAGAGGGUGAUCGGCCACAUUGGGACUGAGACACGGCCCAAACUCCUACGGGAGGCAGCAGUAGGGAAUCUUCGGCAAUGGACGAAAGUCUGACCGAGCAACGCCGCGUGAGUGAAGAAGGUUUUCGGAUCGUAAAACUCUGUUGGUAGAGAAGAACGUUGGUGAGAGUGGAAAGCUCAUCAAGUGACGGUAACUACCCAGAAAGGGACGGCUAACUACGUGCCAGCAGCCGCAGUAA
rnacentral:rRNA from 1 species